rnacentral:rRNA from 1 species
UACAGAGGGGGCAAGCGUUGUUCGGAAUUACUGGGCGUAAAGGGCGCGUAGGCGGCCUGCUAAGUCGAACGUGAAAUCCCUGGGCUCAACCCAGGAACUGCGUCCGAUACUGGUUGGCUUGAAUCCGGGAGAGGGAUGUGGAAUUCCAGGUGUAGCGGUGAAAUGCGUAGAUAUCUGGAGGAACACCGGUGGCGAAGGCGACAUCCUGGACCGGUAUUGACGCUGGAGGCGCGAAAGCCAGGGGAGCAAAGCGGG